rnacentral:tRNA from 1 species
GCUAGUGUGGCUCAGAUAAGAGUACUUGCCUAGUAAGCAUGAGGCCCUGAGUUAAAUCUUCGGUACUGCCA